rnacentral:rRNA from 1 species
UACGGAGGGGGCUAGCGUUGUUCGGAAUCAUUGGGCGUAAAGGGCGCGUAGGCGGCUUGACAAGUCCAAGGUGAAAUCCCUCGGCUCAACCGAGGAACUGCCUUGGAAACUGUCUGGCUCGAGGCCGGGAGAGGGUAGUGGAAUUCCCAGUGUAGCGGUGAAAUGCGUAGAUAUCGUAAGGAAGACCAGUGGCGAAGGCGAGUCUCUGGACAGUUACUGACGCUGAGGCACGAAGGCCAGGGGAGCAAACGGG